UGGGGAAUCUUGCGCAAUGGGCGAAAGCCUGACGCAGCCAUGCCGCGUGGAUGAUGAAGGUCUUAGGAUUGUAAAAUCCUUUCAGCGGGGACGAUAAUGACGGUACCCGCAGAAGAAGCCCCGGCUAACUUCGUGCCAGCAGCCGCGGUAAUACGAAGGGGGCUAGCGUUGCUCGGAUUUACUGGGCGUAAAGGGCGCGUAGGCGGACAGUUAAGUUGGGGGUGAAAGCCCGGGGCUCAACCUCGGAAUUGCCUUCAAUACUGGCUGUCUUGAGUGUGAGAGAGGUGUGUGGAACUCCGAGUGUAGAGGUGAAAUUCGUAGAUAUUCGGAAGAACACCAGUGGCGAAGGCGACACACUGGCUCACUACUGACGCUGAGGCGCGAAAGCGUGGGGAGCAAACAGG
rnacentral:rRNA from 1 species